rnacentral:antisense_RNA from 1 species
GUAGGAGCUGCCGCAGGCUGCGAUCCUUUGAUGUUGUUUUUCGAAAUCAACGUCAAAAGAUCGCAGCCUGCGGCAGCGCCUAC